rnacentral:rRNA from 1 species
UGGGGAAUAUUGGACAAUGGGCGCAAGCCUGAUCCAGCCAUGCCGCGUGGAUGAAGAAGGCCCUAGGGUUGUAAAGUCCUUUCGACGGAGACGAUAAUGACGGUAUCCGUAGAAGAAGCCCCGGCUAAUUUCGUGCCAGCAGCCGCGGUAAUACGUAGGGACCAAGCGUUGUUCGGAUUUACUGGGCGUAAAGGGCGCGUAGGCGGUGUGUCAAGUCAGUUGUGAAAUCUCCGGGCUUAACUCGGAACGGUCAACUGAUACUGUCACACUAGAGUACAGAAGGGGCAAUCGGAAUUCUUGGUGUAGCGGUGAAAUGCGUAGAUAUCAAGAGGAACACCUGAGGUGAAGACGGGUUGCUGGGCUGACACUGACGCUGAGGCGCGAAAGCCAGGGGAGCAAACGGGAUUAGAUACCCACGUAGUCCCUGAGCGGGCUGGCAAGGCGCAU